AGCUGUAUGGCACAGUGGUUAGUGUGUUGGGCUAGAAUCUGGGAGACCAAGGUUCAAAUCCCCAUUUGGCCC